UACGGAAGGUCCGGGCGUUAUCCGGAUUUACUGGGUGUAAAGGGAGCGUAGACGGCUGUGUAAGUCUGAAGUGAAAGCCCGGGGCUCAACCCCGGGACUGCUUUGGAAACUAUGCAGCUAGAGUGUCGGAGAGGUAAGUGGAAUUCCCAGUGUAGCGGUGAAAUGCGUAGAUAUCACGAAGAACUCCGAUUGCGAAGGCAGCUCACUGGAGCGCAACUGACGCUGAAGCUCGAAAGUGCGGGUAUCGAACAGG
rnacentral:rRNA from 1 species